rnacentral:rRNA from 1 species
UACGAAGGGGGCUAGCGUUGCUCGGAAUCACUGGGCGUAAAGGGUGCGUAGGCGGGUCUUUAAGUCAGGGGUGAAAUCCUGGAGCUCAACUCCAGAACUGCCUUUGAUACUGAGGAUCUUGAGUUCGGGAGAGGUGAGUGGAACUGCGAGUGUAGAGGUGAAAUUCGUAGAUAUUCGCAAGAACACCAGUGGCGAAGGCGGCCAACUGGUCCGGAACUGACGCGUGAGGUGGCGAAAGCGUGGGGAGCAAACAGG